rnacentral:rRNA from 1 species
GACAGAGGGUGCAAACGUUGUUCGGAAUUACUGGGCGUAAAGCGUGCGUAGACGGUUAUUUAAGUCGGGUGUGAAAGCCCCGGGCUCAACCUGGGAACUGCAUCUGUGACUGCAUAGCUAGAGUACGGUAGAGGGGGAUGGAAUUCCGCGUGUAGCAGUGAAAUGCGUAGAUAUGCGGAGGAACACCGAUGGCGAAGGCAAUCCCCUGGACCUGUACUGACGCUCAUGCACGAAAGCGUGGGGAGCAAACAGG